CUGGUGUCAGCCGCCGCGGUAAUACCAGCACCUCGAGUGGUCAGGACGUUUAUUGGGCCUAAAGCAUCCGUAGCCGGCUCUGCAAGUCUUCGGUUAAAUCCACCUGCUCAACAGAUGGGCUGCUGGAGAUACUACAGAGCUAGGGAGUGGGAGAGGCAGACGGUAUUCAGUGGGUAGGGGUAAAAUCCUCUGAUCCAUUGAGGACCACCAGUGGCGAAGGCGGUCUGCCAGAACACGUUCGACGGUGAGGGAUGAAAGCUGGGGGAGCAAACCGGAUUAGAUACCCGGGUAGUCCCAGCUGUAAACGAUGCAAACUCGGUAAUGCAUUGGCUUAUGGCCAAUGCAGUGCCGCAGGGAAGCCGUUAAGUUUGCCGCCUGGGAAGUACGGACGCAAGUCUGAAACUUAAAG
rnacentral:rRNA from 2 species